UUUUGCAGGCAGAAGAUGGAAGGUUUUCUCUCCAAGGGAAAUGAUGAGCCCAAGAAGAAAAAGACACUGGAGGGAAGCUGCAACAUGAAAAACUGUCAAGGAAUAGCAGCACACUCACAACAAACACCCUUCGAAGAAAACCCAGGAAGACCCAUGCAAUAGAUUCCUGGGACUCAACUUAGAAGGCAUGGUGGUACUCUUCACUAUUUGUCUGCAGUGAUUUGUGGAAUAAAUCUCUCACUUUUCCUAA